GUCGGGAGGGCGGCUAAUACAAGACCUCAUCUGAGGGAAUACGCCCGCCGACGAAAUGCGGUUUUUUGGCCUCCCGACAUCCCCGU
rnacentral:ncRNA from 1 species